UACGGAAGGCAGCAGUGGGGAAGUAUUGCACAAUGGGCGCAAGCCUGAUGCAGCCAUGCCGCGUGUAUGAAGAAAGGCCUUCGGGUUGUAAAGUACUUUCAGUCGUGAGGAAGGUGUUAAGGUUAAUAACCUUAGCAAUUGACGUUAGCGACAGAAGAAGCACCGGCUAACUCCGUGCCAGCAGCCGCGGUAAUACGGAGGGUGCGAGCGUUAAUCGGAAUUACUGGGCGUAAAGGGCACGCAGGCGGUUAAUUAAGUUGGAUGUGAAAUCCCCGGGCUUAACCUGGGAAUGGCAUUCAAGACUGGUUAGCUAGAGUCUUGUAGAGGGGGUAGAAUUCCAUGUGUAGCGGUGAAAUGCGUAGAGAUGUGGAGGAAUACCGGUGGCGAAGGCGGCCCCUGGACAAAGGCUGACGCUCAUGUGCGAAAGCGUGGGGAGCAAAC
rnacentral:rRNA from 1 species